GCAAACCAAGUACCUCUUUUUAACUACUACUGCAUAAUUAUGCAGACAAGUUACAAAUUUCAAAACGAACACUUCCACCAAACUCAACACAGGGAACCUAUGCAAUAAGAUUCCUAAGUACAACCUACGUACCCACCACAUCAGUAUAAUCAACCUUCACAUAACACACUAUCAGCCUUCAUACUCUGAACAACCGGCCUAGUAUAAUAAGAGCCAACAUGCCUCAACUGAAUCGAAGGCCGCAAACAAGAAGAAAACAGACUGCACAAAUAUGCAGCAGCAGCAAAAUCAACCGAAAAAAUAACCGAGCAACAUCUCGCAUUCUUGUCCAUUAACAACAAAUACAGUUAAUAUAAAUGCCUGUUUAGAAUACAAUUACUAAAUCAUUACUCCUUCCAAAAUAAAUCAUUCUUGUCCAUGGCUAUGUCAUACACUAUAUGUUCUGCACACCAAUUUGCUCAGGAUUAGGAAUAACCCUUUCACUUAAUUUCAUAAAUCAUAACAGCUUGAUAAUCAGGGUCCUAUAUGCUCCUACAGUGCUAUUGUAUAUGUAUAAUUGAUCCUAAAAUUAAACCAUCAAUCUCUUUCUAAUUCUAG
rnacentral:lncRNA from 1 species